UUUUUUUUUCUAUCCUUCGUUCCGUCUCUUUCCGUUGUUUCUUCGAGUACCGCUGUUGGUAACGCGUGACCAAUUUGUGCUUGCAGAGUCUCGGUAUAUAGAUCACGCACGAGUGAAAGCCCAUAAUAGGGCUCGACUUUAGAUAGUCUGUUGAAGAAGAUAUGGAUUGCAAACCGUGUCUAUUUAGAAUCUAUUUUGGGUUUUAAGUUGGAUUUGGAUCCUCUGUUGGACUUAGUCUGAGAUACAGUUUCCGUCCGUGGUCUGCGAGCGAGAGCAGGAGGCGGCCACGCAAGCUCCACGAAGGGAACGAAACCGACGCCGAGCCCGAGACGGCGAGCCGUUGCUUCGCGACACCUCGCUCGCUUCUCUUCCAGGCUUCCACCUCCACUUCCACAUGGCCGCUCCCAUCCACGCGCGUCUCCUCCCGCUCCCCUUGCACCCGAACCCAAGCCCCAGUCUCCACGCGAGCGGCACACGACGGGUGCCCUGGCCCCCGCGCCACCGCCGCCGCUGCUUCGCGACGCCGCCGUCGCGGAACGGGAGCUCCUCCUCGCCGGAGAUCGACUGGUGCCCGGUGCCGCCGGACCAGCUCCCCGUGAACGAGUACGAGGCGCUUGCGGCCUCCCUGCCCUUCUCCUGGGCGGCGGGGGGCCUCCGCGUCUACUGCUCCCGCCUCGCGCUCACGGGCGCCGCCGUCGCGCUCUUCGUCGGGCUCCCGGUCGCCGCCUUCGGGGGCCGCGGCGGGGCCGGCGGCGACGCUCUGCACCUCGCGCUCGGUGCCACGGGGUCCGGGAUCCUCGCCGUCACGCUCGCUGUCGUGCGGAUGUACCUCGGGUGGGCCUACGUCGGCAACCGCCUGCUCAGCGCCACAGUGGAGUGUGAGGAAUCCGAAUUAAUUCUGUUCUCCUUUCUGCUAGUCUGCAUUGCGUUACUCUGAAGUCCGUAUCGUAUCUGAUUCAGAUGAGGAGACGGGAUGGUAUGAUGGUCAGGUGAGAUGUUUCUGUUGAUCCCGUCCUUUCUUGUACUUGAUCCUAAUUUUCUAAUAAAUUUCUAGAUUGAACUGUAGUACUUAGAGGUACUCCGUGUCACUCAGGUAGAACGGGGAUCAUUUCUAGAGGCUAGAGCUGACUUGCUGCUUGGUUAGGCCUUGAAAUGUUUUGGUGAUACAAACAAUUGGACAAAAGGAAUAUGAUCUAGAAAACUACGGGGAAUCAUCCAACCAUUGAUACACACUUAGUGCCACCAAAACAGAUACUGAAAAUGUGCCCCUAUGGUCCUAUGGGCCCCGUGUGCAUCCAUCGUUGGAUACUUGGAUGCAUACGAGGAAGCAUGUGAGCAGGAAAGAGAAAUAUUGAGGGCACCUCUCUCCGGCUGUACACGGAUCCCAUGGGGAUAUGUCCUUAGGGCAAAAUUAACAUUCACCCACUGAAAAAACUUCUGCGGCUGUUUUCUGUUGCUUUAUCUUUAUCAAGCCUGACAUUAUUGAUAUUCAUGCCAUAGAAAAACGUGAGGUGUUAAUCUACCGCUGUUUCAUAUUAUAGCAAGUGCUUCCUUGUAAAUUAAGCAUUGAUGUAGAAUUGCUGAGUUAUUUUAGUCCUUGUAAGUUGUUGUAACAUGCAGACAGCUGUCUCGAAAAGGAGGAGAAAAACAUGUACACACAUCCUUAUGGUGCUUCUGUAAAUUUGUUUUACUAGUGUUAGUCAAGAUGGUUUGUGGUUUUCCGCUUCGUUUGAUCUUAUUCUUGAUAAGUACUUGUAUUCUUCUUAAUAAAAAUUUGUAUGCAUGGAAUUCAUUAUACUUGGCUCAUCACACCAGGGUUAACUUUUGGUGCUAAAAUCAUUUCUUACCUUUGGCAGAUAUGGGUUAAAACUCCAGAAGUUUUAGCUCGUGAUCGGCUUCUAGGCUCAUUUUCUGUAAGUUGUACUUACUGACUUCUGUAAACGCAACAUUCUUUUAUGAUCAGUUAGCUCUUUGUUUUCCAUUGAGUAUCAGCUGCAUGCCAUAAAGCUUAUUGAGUGAACACUGAACUUUACAUGCACAUGGCAUGAGCUGUGAUAUCCCCUCAGGGAAAUAUGACCAUAUCAUGAACUUGGCUGUGCUCUGGACCUACACCUGAGUCUGGGUCUGGGUGUUAUCUGGUGCAUCUGUUUUCUGAAAACGUUACAAAUUGCAAUACCAAAAAAACAUCAUAGCAUCGUUGGGAAAAAAAUCUUUUGCGUUGCUACUAAGCAUUGUUUUUUUCCUUCUUUUUUAUGCUCUAGGUCAAGCCUGUGCUAAACAGGGUGAAGUUCACCUUGGUGGGUCUGGCAGGCUCCCUGAUCCUUUGCAUUCUUCUGUACGUGAACACGGAAACCCCAAAGGAACCUUAUGGAAAUACAGGUGGAAGGUCUAUCCCGGGAGUGUACAGCGACGCUGCUGCAAGGUCGUUUGAGCCCGAUGCAUUCUGUGGAGAACCUGAUUUGUCGUAGCAUCGUAAAGCGUGGAGCAUGGAAGGUUUGUAGAUGGCAGUAUAUAUGGUCUCACAGGGUAUAUACGGGGGUUUCUGUACGGGGUUUUUAAUCCAUCAAACUAGGGUAAUGUAAAUAUUUGGCCACACCCACACUAGUAUCGAUAUUUUAGACGCAAGCCUCUUAUGAAAAUUUAUGCUGACGGGCCACGGUGAAGUGAAAGGGGGUCACGCCUGUUUCCGAAGAGCGGAGCCGGGUGCAUAGCAUAUGUGCGCCAGAAUCUAUUUAUACACAUAUAUUGACGUCACAAGUGUAAUAUAUCAAAAGAACAAUGCAUAAAAGCGUAAAUAACGAUUAUAUUAACAUAUUACACUUCGAACAGAUAAAAUGUCUUAAUCUUUAUUCAUCAGAGUACAACGAAAUAAGAACAUCCAUCCACAGGAAGAUUAUCGGGGGUAUCACUAGACUAGCAUUCAUGGAGUUCAGCAUCAUAUCUUCAUCUGCAAACUUCUGAUCAAAAUUUAAGCAAGGGUGAGCUUACUUACGGUCGGGUCUCAGCAAGUAGGGGAAAAAUUAAUGCAGGUUUAACAAGGUGAGGCUAAGGUUGAGCAGUAAGCAUUUUAGUUGGUCAACAUUUUAUUAACAACAUAUGUCUUAUUAAUAAGUGUGAAUCACAAGUAUUCCCAUUAAACAAAGGUAUAAGAGUAUAUCAAAAACACUUAAGUGAAACCACUUAAGCAAACCAUUGGCAGAUCAUCGGAUCUCGAUUUAUUUCUAUCUUCAAGUUCAAUUAUCAUGUGAGGAGUCCAGACUGCUCUUAAUCGUGAGCACGACUGAUAUAUCAGUUUUACACUCUACAGAGGUGGCGCAUCUUUACCCAUGAGUCGCGAUUUCCUUUUUGCUCGGGUUAGCUAGACCCGUAUUCACUUCCGAGGUGAAUGGCUAGGGUCUCACUACGAGGCUUCUCCCUAGAGUCCUCAUUACGCAAAUGCUGGAAAUGGUCAACUACAUAAGGUACACCUACCGUAACCAACUUAUAAUCCAGACUACAGGGUAAAGCUUUGGGAACUAUGCUCGUAUCCAAUCUGCCUGAGCCGGAACUAUAAGCGCUUGCGAGAUGCCCCCAUUCCGGUCGACCACGACCAGCACCCAACAUAAGACUUCCCUAAUUAUUUAGCCAAGACCAGAGCCAUGAUAGUUCUCAUGGUAGCACUGUUUUCCCGGGUUGUCACUCCAUGUAUCAAUUAAUAUGCAAUAAUCUUGUUUAACCAUCGGGUUAACAACAAUAAAGUAAUCUUACCAUUUGGAACAUUAAUAUCAUAAACAUGAGUGACUGCAUAAAUUUAAAGUUGUAGCAAUAGCAUAGCUACUUGAUUAGAUCAUAAUCACAGGUUAAACAAGGAGUAAGGUUGGAAAUGUUAGGGGUAUCCAAAUAGGUAACCCAUCAAAUUAUGCAUAUAUUCAUCGAAGAAUAAACUUUAUUAAAUGUAUUGUUUGGGAUUAAACAGAGUAUACAGAGGGAGAAGUCCACUUGCUUUGCUUAUAGAAAACUUGAGGUUCUUCCACAGAAUAUAUCUUGAUUCUCAACUACUGGAUCAAUCUCUAAACAUCACAUAACAAACAAGAAGAACAAACACCACUCAAUAACAUAUCACAUUCACCAUACGUAAAGCUAAAAGAAAGCCUAACGGAAAGAGCGUUCACUUUUCAAAAACAUUACACACAAGGGUUAUAAUAAAAAGGUAUUCUUUUCAAAAAUGUGUGAUAUAUAUAGUUUAUAAAACAAGACAUGAGCUUAAAAUAUCUUAAGUAAAAUAUGUAAAUAUUAGGUUCACCUAUUUAAUCUUUUAUAAAACGUCAUACGCGAUACAUCUUAGAUAAAGGGUUUAUAAGAUGAUAAAACGUUUUAACAAUAUUAAACCUUUUUAACCUUUUAGAAAAGAUAUAAGUUAUAAAUCUAAGAUUAAUGCGUUAUGAAACAUGUUAUUAGUUUUAGAAGCAUUAUGGAACAUCUUAUAAAUCAUUGUUAAACAUUCACUUCUGAUAAACUAAGAUAUAAGUCUAAAUAGGUUUUUAUAUGAAAAGAUCAUUAUUAUUAAACACCUAUUUUAUGAAAGACUAGGUUAUAGGCCUCAAGUGGAUUUUCAUGCAAAAGAUAAUAAACAAAUAACUAUCUUUUAUUUUCAUUAGAAAACACAUAGCCUAUAUUAUUAUAUUUGAAGUCAAUAUUAAAUAACAUUUUAAGUUAUAAAGGAACUUAAACUCUUAUUACUUUACUAGUUAUAUGCCCGUGUUUUGCAACGACAUACAAAAUAUUUGAUAAAAUUAUUUACCAACAAAUACUACAAUUACAACCAGAGACAGGAUGUCGUUGUCGCAGUUGGCCAAGCUCCUUUGCGGCCACAGAUGGGGGCCACAUCUCCUCUCAUAAACUGCUGUUGCGCAUAAACAGACCCCGGAGCAGUGCCUGCAGUACAGACAAGAAUUCUGAUCAUGCUCUAGCUAAUUGCAUUGUUGGUCUUCUCGACUCUUUCAGCUGAAGCAACCAGCUGCCCUUCACCAGUGAGGAAAAGAAUCAGCUAACAAUGGCAUCCCCAGCAGCCUUGUUGUAGCGAGUAGCGACUGCAGGAGAUCGCGUGCAGCAAAUGUCGUCGCCAGGCAGACAUAGACAACCACUAUGCUUGCCAAGCCACCGCAAUAAGAAGAUUUGGAGCGCGAGCAAGAAAAGAGAAAUGCAAGAGGCAAGAAGCAGCAGCUAGCCUUCGAAGCUCUCACUAUCACAAUGCACACAUGGGCUUGUCAUUAGCUGGAGUUGAGUUUCUUUUCUCCUCCGACCUUGUUCCUGCUUCCUUCUCCUUGUCAAACAGAACACAUGGCUAACUGGUAUGUGAGAGGAUUAGUGUGAACCAAGGGCCAUAUAUAAAAAAAAGAAUAUGGCACAUGGUAAAUAUCUGGAAAACGAAUAAUUUUAGUAACAUUUCAUUCACUCAAGAAAAAUAAAAGGAUGAACACUUAGGAUUACAUUACAUUUUGUAGAAGUGCAUGAUGAAUAUCUUGGAUAUUGCUUCUGAUUACACCAACUGAAGGUCCACGUACUUUGGACCUUGAGAACACUACAUUGGAUGGUCAAUAGCGGUACCAACAAGCAAAUCAAUGAAUUGGGGCCAAAACCUGUGAGCCAUGUAACGGACAAUUCGACAGAAUCAUGUGCAAGUACCAAGCAAAC
rnacentral:lncRNA from 1 species